AUCAAGCAAAUGCACCUUGUAAUGCGACCUCAACUUAUCAAAAUAGUUAUAAAACCCCUCAUUCGUCGCAAUGUACAGAUUCCUCCACGGCUGAAUCACCUUCGUAACCUUCUCCACCAGCACAUCGGGAGAAGUAUCACUAUCCAAAUUCGGCCACAGCUCCUUAUUCGCCGCCUUCUCGCCCCGAACAACAUGCACUGCAUCAUAAUCCCAGUCCAUCUUCCCGGCAAUCUGAGUCACAAUGUUCAUCAAAUGCUUUGACUUCCAUACAGCCUGCCACGGCCGCUGGAUGUACUUGGCAGCGCGCCCCUCACAUACGCGGUACCAGUAGUUCUCCGGCUCCGGCCCAUCGAAUUGCCGCCAGAUGAUGGUACUGCGAUCCUUCUUCAGCUGUUUAGGGCUAACUUUGUAGGUAGGAACUUUACGGACGCCGAUCCGACCGCCUUUCUUAGCAGCACGGUCAGACCGACGCCAAUCACGGAGGAAUUCCGCCUCCUCGACGACAGAUGCCGUCUCCUUCAGGUGCUCGUAAUCGAAGUAGUACCGGAAAUCCUUGCCUUCUUCGUCUCGGCCGCUGGGGUUGUAUGAGGCGGCGAGGCAGAUGCUG
rnacentral:misc_RNA from 1 species